rnacentral:rRNA from 1 species
UGGGGAAUAUUGCACAAUGGGGGAAACCCUGAUGCAGCGACGCCGCGUGAACGAAGAAGGUAUUCGUAUCGGAAAGUUCUGUCCUAUGGGAAGAUAAUGACAGUACCAUAGAAGAAAGCUCCGGCUAAAUACGUGCCAGCAGCCGCGGUAAUACGUAUGGAGCGAGCGUUGACCGGAAUUAUUGGGCGUAAAGGGUACGCAGGCGGUUUAAUAAGUCGAAUGUUAAAGAUCGGGGCUCAACCCCGCAAAGCAUUGGAAACUGAUAAACUUGAGUAGUGGAGAGGAAAGUGGAAUUCCUAGUGUAGUGGUGAAAUACGUAGAUAUUAGGAGGAGUACCAGUAGCGAAGGCGACUUUCUGGACACAAACUGACGCUGAGGUACGAAAGCGUGGGGAGCAAACAGG